UUUAUUUCUCUUUUAUACAUGAUUCUGAUGUAUCCAUCGAGCAUGUGGUCUCAUUUUUUAUGUUGCUAAAUUAUCGGACUAUAAUUAUAGAGUUAAUGGAUUGUUUAUGUCCACUAAUGAUCGUGAUACAUAAUCGAUAACCGUUCAUAACGAUUAGGAUGUGUUGCGAAGAUAGACCGACUAUAUAUCGGUAAUAGUGAUAAAUCGAUAGUCCCG
rnacentral:lncRNA from 1 species